AUUGAACGCUGGCGGCAGGCCUAACACAUGCAAGUCGAGCGAGUGGCGGACGGGUGAGUAAUGUCUGGGGAACUGCCUGAUAGAGGGGGAUAACUACUGGAAACGGUAGCUAAUACCGCAUACCAUCGGAUGUGCCCAUAUGGGAUUAGCUAGUAGGUGGGGUAAAGGCUCACCUAGGCGACGAUCCCUAGCUGGUCUGAGAGGAUGACCAGACAGACUGGGACUGAGACACGGCCCAGACUCCUACGGGAGGCAGCAGUGGGGAAUAUUGCACAAGGGGCGCAAGCCGGAUGCAGCCAUGCCGCGUGUAUGAAGAAGGCCUUCGGGUUGUAAAGUACGUUCAGCGGGGAGGCGUUACCCGCAGAAGAAGCACCGGCUAACUCCGUGCCAGCAGCCGCGGUAAUAC
rnacentral:rRNA from 1 species